UUGCUUGCGGCAGGCCUAACACAUGCAAGUCGAGGGGCAGCAUUUCCAGCUUGCUGGAAGAUGGCGACCGGCGCACGGGUGAGUAACGCGUAUAGAAUCUGCCCUUUACUGGGGAAUAGCCCGAAGAAAUUUGGAUCAAUGCCCCAUGGUCCCUUCUUGUGGAUUCACGAUUAGGGUAAAGGUUACGGUAAAGGAUGACUAUGCGUCCCAUUAGUUAGUUGGUAGGGUAACGGCCUACCAAGACCGCGAUGGGUAGGGGCCCUGAGAGGGGGAUCCCCCACACUGGUACUGAGACACGGACCAGACUCCUACGGGAGGCAGCAGUGAGGAAUAUUGGACAAUGGGCGAGAGCCUGAUCCAGCCAUGCCGCGUGCAGGAAGACGGUCCUAUGGAUUGUAAACUGCUUUUAUACGGGAAGAACCUAGGGCACGUGUGCUCUACUGACGGUACCGUAAGAAUAAGGAUCGGCUAACUCCGUGCCAGCAGCCGCGGUAAUACGGAGGAUCCGAGCGUUAUCCGGAAUCAUUGGGUUUAAAGGGUCCGUAGGCGGGCCAUUAAGUCAGGGGUGAAAGUCUGCGGCUCAACCGUAGAAUUGCCCUUGAUACUGGUGGUCUUGAGUUAUGGUGAAGUAACUAGAAUAUGUGGUGUAGCGGUGAAAUGCAUAGAUAUCACAUAGAAUACCGAUUGCGAAGGCAGGUUACUAACCAUAUACUGACGCUGAUGGACGAAAGCGUGGGGAGCGAACGGGAUUAGAUACCCCGGUAGUCCACGCCGUAAACGAUGGAUACUAGCUGUCCGGCAGCAAUGCUGGGUGGCUAAGCGAAAGUGAUAAGUAUCCCACCUGGGGAGUACGUCCGCAAGGGAUGAACUCAAAGGAUUUGACGGGGGCCCGCACAAGCGGUGGAGCAUGUGGUUUAAUUCGAUGAUACGCGAGGAACCUUACCAGGGCUUAAAUGUAGUCUGACGUCUUUAGAGAUAGAGUUUUCUUCGGACAGAUUACAAGGUGGCUGCAUAGUGGUCGUCAGCUCCUGCCGUGAGGUGUC
rnacentral:rRNA from 1 species